ensembl:piRNA 21ur-3127 ncRNA
AUCAGCAAAAUAUUUGUCGCU